AUGAGAAAUGAAAAAGCUAAUUUCAUAAUUGUAAAGGGUUCAGUUAAUCAAGAGGAUACAAUCUUAAAACUAUUUUCACAUAAUAACAGAGGUUAAAAAUACAUAAAGCUAACACUGCUAAACCUGCAGUUAUAUAGAUAAGCUCACAAUUAUAGUUGAUUUGAACACCUAUUUCUCAAUAAUAAUAGGAUAAGCAGACAAAACAUAAUCAAUGGUAUAAAACAUUGAAAACGGUAUCAACUUGACAUAAGUGUACAUUUGUAGAAUAUUCUAUCAAACAACAGAUACACAUUCUUCUCAAAUGUGCAUGAAAUAUUUAUCAUGAUACGCCAUACUCUGUAUCAUAAAAAAAGUCUCAAUGGAUUUUUAAAAAUUCAAGUCAUAGGAAGUAUGUUCUCAUUCCACUAUAAAAUUAAAUUAUAAUUCAAUAAAAAGUGUUAUCUGGAGACUUUCCAAAUGUUGUAAACUAGAUAGCACAUUUCUAAAUAACUCGUGAGUCAAAAAGUAAAUAAAAGAAAAAUUAGAAAUUUGUUGGAUGUUAUUAAGCAGUACUGAGAGUGGUGUUAUAGCACAACAAGCCUGUAUUAGAAAUUUAAAAAGUCUCAAUCCAAUGACUUCACCCUUCAGGAAUUAAAGAGGAAAUAAUUGAACCCAAACUAAUAAGAAGAAAUGAAAUAGAUCAAAGAGAAAAUCAAUCAUCUAGAGAACAGAAACAACAGAUAAACCAAAAGUCAGUUAUAUAAGAAAAAAUAAUGAGAUUGAUAUACCUCUAGCCAAAUUGAUUAGACAAAAAUGAGAAUAAUUUUUCAUUAUCAGGGAUGAACAUGGUAACAUAUUAUUAUAGAUUCUACAUAUAUUACAUAUAUAAAAAUAGAAAUAUUAAGAAGAGUUUUAUGCCAAUACAUUCAAAAAGCUGGAUAACAAGUUUUUGAAAGAUAAAAACUACCAUAGUUCACUCAGAGACAGACAACAUGAAUAGCCCUAUAUAUAUUAAAACAUAUACUAUAUCAUUUACACAUUGUAUAAAAUGUGAACUGUUCUAUAAACAGAAUGCUGAUCAGUGUUUGGCUGGGGACAAGGUAGGUGUAGUAAAGAGGAUGAGAAGGAGAAUUUAAAAGAGGAAUGAGAAAUAAUUGGGGGGAUGAUGGAUAUGUUUACUAUCUUAAUUCUGGUGAUGGUUUCAUUUGUAUAUAUUCACCAAAAUAUGCUGAAGUGUCCAUUUUCAAAAUGAGUGGUUUAUUGCUCAUCAUAUUAAAAAAUUCUUAAAAAAAGAAUAAAUGACUGUUAAGCUUGAUUAAUAGCUAAUAGGAAAGCCAAGGCAUUUAGUUAUUCUUUAAAUCUUUUAUUAUACAAAACAGUUAUGUAUUAUACAAAACAAUUCAUAUCAUUCCCAAUAUGUAAUAAAAUAUAGCAUUAAAAAAGAUAAAAUAAAAGUGUGAUUCACUCUUACAUCUAAUUCCCAAGUCAUUAGUUCCAUAAAAUAGAGUAUUUGGAAAAUAUUCCUAUGAAUUUAUUUCUGGUCAUAAAGUUUUAAUAUUUAUAAUUAAUUUAAUAAGUUGCCUAAAUUUAAAUUUGUUUAAAUAUGAUAUUUGAAAAAAAAGAAUACUCAAAGCUUAACCAUCCUAAACGUACACACAAACACACACUCAGGCACACAUAAAGUGUGACAUAAACUUAAGGGUCAGGAUGGCACAUGCACAAUGACCCUCGUCCAAGUAACAAGAAUUUUAGUCCAUUACAAUGCACAUGAUUCUAAUGUUAGCAUAUGUAGUUAGCUAGUUAUUAAUAGGAAGGAAGUAAAGGGAAUAGGACAUUGUUGAGCCUAAUGGGCUGAGGCAUGAACCUGUUUGCUGCACCAGGAAGCUUAAACAUUUACAGACUCUUUCACACACUGCAGGGGACUGCCACUGAAGAGAUUUAAUGUUCAGAUCAUACAGGAAAUCUUCCCAGUAGCAUUGCCCUCCCUCCAGUACUGGAUUUUAAGGGGGAGAGGAGGUAAACACAUGUGUGAUAUAAGUCAAAAUAGUGUACAGGCAGUUGCUUGACCACAGAGGCCUGUCAGCCUAAUGUGGGAAAGAGAUCAGUUGCUGGGGUGGGGAGAGGGUCAACCCAUCAAAAGCUCUGGAAAGCUUGGGGAGUUGAUUAAUUUU